CGUCCAGAGCCGCCUCCGCGUCCAGGGUGGUGCGGCCGGUCGACGAGGACCUGUACCAGGUGCCUCCGCCGGAGCUCGCCUCCCGCCGGUACCGGCCAAGACGGAAGAGGAGCCUGUGGAUGGAGUGCCUGGGCCUCAACUCGUGCGUCGCCUGAACACUUGUGGAUGGGGUGCUUUGCCGCAUGCUCGUCCUUGACAAUUAAGGAGUAGACCGAUCGGCCGGUCGAAUGCUAGCUGUGUGUUUUGUUUUGUUUUGUGAUCUCUACGGCUGAUUAUGGCUUGUAAUGCUUUCUACUAGCUACUAGUUUUUGUUUCCAGCGCAAGUUGUACUCCAAGGCCAGCAGCAGGUCUGGUCUCGUGCCUAGGCUGGGCUUGGUCGAUGUGUGGAGAGUAUAGAUUAAGACUGACGUUCUUUGA